AGGCUGCAAAAGAAGAAACCAAACAGGCAACAAUGUCCUCGGCCAUGAAAGCAAUUAAGCAACGGAUGGAGCAGGAUAUCGAGGAAGUUUCAAAAAUCGCUCUUAAAAUUAAAGCAAGCCUCGAAGCACUUGACAGGGAUAAUAUUGCCAACAGGAAGAAACCAGGAUGUGAGAAAGGGACGGGUGUUGAUAGGUCUAGAGCAUUAAUGACUGCGUAAGUAAGUUACUACUUGACUGCAUAACUAGGUUACUACUGCCCAUUUAAAUUGUCACAUAAAGUUCAUGUUUAGAGUCUUGCUCUAGUCUAUAGCAGAUGUGAUAAUGUGUUAGAUUGAAUCAUUAGUCAUGAUCAGCCUCAACAUCACUAUCUCACCAUUUUCGCAUCGAAAGGGAGUAAGUUAUAGGGCAUAACCCAAAGUUAAAGAAAGCUUCACAAAAACAUUAACGCAGCGCAAAUGUAAUAAACCUCGGAAUCCACUAACUGGGUUGUUCUUUGAAUCCACAAAGAAUGAUCUUGAAAUCCAUGAAGAACUUCGAAUCCAAGUAGAAAAUAUGAUAAAUAGGAAAGUUUAUUGAUGAAAAGUUAUGGCUCUAGAGCUUACAAUCAUCUGUUUAAAUAGAAAAUAAACAAGACUCCUACUAAGACCAGAACUUAUCAAAAAUAGAAAUAACAAAACUCUUUCUAAAAAAACUCCCUAUGAUUGAGGAAAAAAAUUGGUCAAAUUUGAAAUCAAAUUGGAUUUGUUUCCUAAUCAAAACCUCUUAAAACAUUACCUAAAAUAGUAAAAAAAUUACAAUAUCUCUUAUAUCUCUCAAUCCGGAUGGAAUUUCGUAAAAUGGACGGUAGCAAACCGAACAUCAAUAUGUUCGGUUGACUCCGUCUCGAAAAAAUACACGAUUUUCAUAUAUAAUUUGUUUAAUUCGAUGUACGGUUUGGAAGAUAUGACUCGUUCUUCGUUGCAAGUCAUUUUCCUCUUUCAGAUCCGCUUUUGGGCUUCUGACGGUCCGGAUUCUCUAUGAAUAUUUCCACAAUAUGUUCGACAUCAAUCUCCCCUUCUUGAAAAGAGCUCAAUCCCGAGCUUAUAAUUCACAUGAAAAGUUGAGCCUUCUAGUGAGUAAUACUCAAACAAAUCUGCAACAUUGAAACCAAAAGAAAUGGUCAAAUCUUCAGGAACGUCAACGACAUAACCAUUAUCGCUAAUCUUCUUCAAUAUUUUGUAUGGACCAAACUUUUUAUUCUUCAGCUUGUUGUAUGUUCCCACUGAAAAGUGCUCUUUUCAUAGAAACACCAUCACCAUAUCUCCUUCCUCAAAUACUUUCUUCACCAUGUGUUGAUUAGCAUUCACUAUAUAUUUAGCAUUAAACUUCUCUAUUUGCUCUUUCACUUCCUAUUGAAUAGCUCGUAUCCUUUCAUCCAUAUGAUCUGCAACAACACUCUGACCCGAGAGCUUAGGUAGUGGAACUAGAUCAAGAUAAUGGUUCGAAGGCCUCCUCACAAAGGGAACCUGUCUGUAGUUCAACCCUCUAUAUAGUUAUAAACAAACUCAGUAUGCACCAAACCAAGAUCCCACUGUUUUGGAUGAUCGUCAGAAAUGGAUCUGAGAAGGUUAUCAAGAGUGCGAUCAACCACUUCAGUUUGGCGGUUUGUUUGAGGGUGGUAAGUAGUACUGAAUUUCAGUGAAGUAUUAAAUUGUUGCUACAAUGUCCUCCAAAAGUGACGUAAGAACUUGGAGUCACGAUCAAAGAUGAUAGACUUUAACACUUUAUGAAGGUGUACCAUCUCCUAAAAGAAAAGGUUGGUAAUGUUACUAGUAUCUGCUGUCUUCUUAUAUGGAAUAAAGUAUGCCAUCUUUGAAAAUCUGUCAACCACAAUAACAAUAGAAUCCAUACCUCAUUGAGUUCUAGAGAGAUACAAUACAAAGUCCAUUGAGAUAUCAUGCCACGACAUAUCAGGAACAGGUAAAGGUGUAUAUAGUCUGGUAUUUUGGGCUUAUCCCGUGGUAACUUAACAAACUAGACAACACCGCACGUAUUUUUCUGUCUUCUUCGUCAGCUGAGUCCAGUAGUAUCUCUUAAUGAAAGCAAUUGUCUUAUCACGCUCCAGAUGUCCUCCUAACCCGCCACCAUGAAGGUCUCGUAUGAUCUGCUCUCUUAGUGAACUUUGCGCUAUACAUAUCUAAUCUCCAUGAAACAAAUAACUAUCCUGGAUAUAAAAACUUCUUGCUGACUAAUUCUUCAGAUAGUUGUUCCGAGCCUCCUUGAAGUCUUCAUUAUUUGUAUAGAGUUCCUUUAGGUGUUUAAAUCCAAUCACUUAUGCCUACAAAGUUACCAACAAAGCAGCCGUCCGACUGAAUGCAUUUGCAACCUUAUUCUACAAAGUUACCAACAAAGUAUUAAAUUAUUACUACAACCUUAUUCUACUGCAUCACAAUUAACCUCGAACAUCUUUUUAAAGUCUGGGAAGUGUGAGCACGGGUGGUGUGGACAACUUCUCCUUGAUUAGUGCAAAGCUACAAUCUGCAUCUCCCCCCAAUUAAAUAUGUAUUUUUCAUGCACUCGGUGAUAGGCGUAACGAUGCUACUAAAAUUUCUGACAAAUCUCCUAUAGAAGGUCGCUAGACCAUAAAAACUAUGAACUUCGCUAAUAGUAUUCAGCUUGAGCCAAUCUCGAAUAGCGUGCACUUUUUUCAUCAACAUGGAUGUCCUCUGCACUGACUAUAAAGCCUCAUGAAGUUGUACUUCUUCAGAUUGAUGUACAGAUUGUUCUCCUGCAAAGUUGUUAGUGCCUCCUUCAAGUUAUCUAGAUGCAUGGACUCAUUUUGGCUAUAAAUCAAAAUAUCAUCGAAAUAAAUUAUAACGAAUUUACCGAUAAAGGGUUUUAAUAUUUGAUUCAUCAACCGCAUGAAAAUUGUCCACAUAUAGGCCAAAAGGCAUGACCAACUAUUCAUAUAGGCCGUUUUUUUAUCUUGAAAGCAGUUUUCCACUCAUAUUCUUCUCUAAUGCGAAUAUCAUGAUAACCACUCUUGAGAUUAAUUCUGGAGAAUACUUUUUGAUCCUGAUAAUAUAUCCAGCAUGUCUUCUAGGUGAUGGAUAGGAAACCGAUAUUUCACCGUAAUCUUAUUGAUAGCGCUAUUAUCCAUACACAUGCACCACUCUCUGUUCUUUUUUGGGACCAUAAAUGCGGCUACAAUACACGGACUCAUGCUAGCUUAUAUAAAGCCUUUUUGGAUGAGAUUGUCUACUUGUUUAUGCAAGAUCUCCCCUUCCUUCAGGCUUAUCUGAUAGUAUGUUAGAAUUGGUAAGCGUGACCUAGGGAUGAAGUUGAUUUGAUGUUGGACGUCUCGAAGCAUCGGUAACUCAGUAAGUUCUUCAGAUAUAACCGUAUCAAACUGUUGUAAGAGGGUUUGUACUUUAGGUGAUUUUUAGUGGGGGCAGAAUCCUCUUUUUUGGAUAUGACAAGAUCAUAAAUCUCUUUAGAUCGUUUUAAAUAUUUUAUAAAAUCUUUAUUAUCAACAAUAAAAAAGAUAUUCUUUUCAGCACUAUUUGUCUUGGCCGGCCCCUUCUCUGUAAGAGACACGAGCACAACUCGAUGUCUAUAUAAACAUUGUCUUUCCCCCUGUACAUGGCAUUAACAUCAAAUUUUCAUGGCCUGCCUUGUAGCAUAUGACAAGCAUCCAUCUCAACCAUAUCACACCACAUCAUCAACAUAAUUACAACCAAUGGAAAAAGGCACUCGACACACCUUUUCGACCUGCACGUCAUUACCCUUACGAAUCCAACCGAUCUUGUAGGAAGCGGGGUAUUUAUGUCUUCAAGCCUAAUUUCUCCAUCAUACGCUGAGUGAUAAUAUUCUCACUGAUGGUGUUAUCAGUGAUAACAUUACAAGUAUUUUGUCUCACGGUGCACCUCGUGCAGAAGAUAUUAUAUCUUUGAGACGGUUCUUCUGUCUUUAGAGUUGGUAACAUUCGCCGCACUAUACAUGAAAGUUGGUCCCCAUCAUCAAGAUACUCAACCUCCUCGUUUCCAUAGUCUUCAAUGUCAUCUUGAUCUGCAUCCUCCUCAGCAUGGUCCACCACAUUCGUAGUAUUUCUUUUAGAGCACUGAUUGGUUCGAUGACCAAGUUGACCGCAUCUAUAGUACUUGAUUGGAUUUGAUUUGGCAUAUGGAUUCGCUGGUGUAGCCUUAUUUUCUAGUGUAGCUUUCUUUACAAUUGCUGUUGUCUAUCAUGUACCCUUCUUAGCUGUAGAAUCUUGAUCAGGGAUAAAAUGGGAUUGCUUGUUUCCGCCACGAUUAUAAUUCAUGCGCGAACCCUUUGAAGCUGCCCAUAAUCCUCGAUUGUUUUGUGCAAGUUGUCACUCCACCUUUUCGGAUAGACUAACUGUGUCUGCCAAAUAUGUCUGUUGUAAAGACACCUUCUUUUCAGUUUUCCCCUUGAAUCUUUUUAAUUUUCACAUUCUUUUCAGUUUUCCCCUUGAAUCUUUUUAAUUUUCCCCUUCUUUUUAGUUUUGCCCUGUCAAAUAAAAUUAGUUUCAAGUUAGUAAUUGAAUUAUAAAUUUGAAAUGCAACAAAUUUAAAUGCUAAUGCAUAGGAGAGAGUGAGAUACUUAACAGUUGACACUCCUUAAUGUCU